UUCCUUGUGAUGAUGUGAAAUAGAAUGCCUACAUCAUGAGAUGAAGUGAAUGGAGUAGGCAUUGUGACAUGUUAGGCUACUAUUGACCUAUCAGGUGUAUAGCAUCUACAGUGUGGAUACACUGGACAAAAGGAUGACUAACAUCCUGAGUUAGACACAGCAGGGUGGGCCAAGACUUUAUCAUGUUACUCAGAAUGGAGUGCAAUUUAAAACUCAUGAAUUGUUUAUUUUUGUAAUUUUCUGUUUAAGAUUUUUGAGCUGAGAUUGACCAUGGAUAACUGUCCCACAGAAACUGAAACAGUGGAUAAGGGGUACUACUAUAUCGUUAGGAUAAUAAAGUAGACUACAAAAUAGUUCCAUCAGUAUAACUGCAACUUAAACAAAUACUACACAGAGAGGGGAGAAAAGACUAGAAGGUACCUCACCAAAAAUAUCCAGCAAGGAGCCUCCCAGAUGGAGUACAUGGAGACCAUGACUGUGAAAGAUGAGGAUCAAGUGCAGAUUUGGUGGCCUCUGAUUGCCAGUAUCUGGCAGCCACAUUCUCUUCCCACAAGAUGUGCUGGAAAUAUGACCAAGCAGAAGUUCACUUAAGUGAAUCCAACAGUUAAACCUACCAUGGAAGGGUGUGGUGCACAGAGGGCAUGUGGAGAAGAGAAGACCACAGUGGGAACCUCCAAGGAACUAACAUCUAGCUGGGGAUGAGGGGGGAUUUGGCUAUGUAGAGAGUAAAUAAAGUGAUAUGAGAAUUAAA
rnacentral:lncRNA from 1 species